GCAAAUCAAUAUAAAUUGAUUAAUAUUUAUUUAUUUAUUUUUUUUAUUAUGUUUGUGAUUUAAAUUUAUUAAAAAUAAUUGUAUAAUUUAAUGUUUAGUAAAUUUUAUUAAAAAAAUAAUUUUUGUAAUAUUGUAUUAUGUACUGUGAGGGAUUAUUGAAAUAAUUUGAAAAAUUUUUGUUUAAAAAGAAGAUUUAAUUUAUCGUACCUUGUGUAUCAGGGUUUAUUAAAUAGUGAAUAAUUAAUUUAUUUAUCUCGAUUUUAUAAGAGUUAAUGGUUUAUUAAAGUUAAUGUAUUAAAAUUAUUUUAAAUAAUCUAUUAGAAAUGAAAUGUUAUUCGUUUAUAAAGGUAUCUAGUUUUUUUAUAAAUAAAUUUAAUUUACAAAUUUUUGAUUUUUAUUUUUUUUAAGAAAUUUAAAGAAUUAUUGAUUUGAAUAUUUUAAGGGAUAAGCUUUAAAAUAAAGUUUUAAAAAUUAAUAAUUAUUAUUUAAAAUGUAUGCUUAUAAUUAGCAAUCAUUAAUGAUUUUGUUAUAAAUUAUUUUAUAAUUUGUAUUAUUUAUUAAUGUUUUAAUUUUUUAUAAAAAUGUUUUUAUUAAUAUUUAUUGAUAAGUAAUAAUGAUUAAAUUAGUAUAUAUUUUUUGUUUUAAUAAUUUGAUUUGAUAAGUUUAUAUAAAGAACUCGGCAAAUUUUGUACUCGCCUGUUUAACAAAAACAUGUCUUUUUGAGUUAAUUUUAAAGUCUGACCUGCCCACUGAAAUGUUUUUAAAUGGCCGCAGUAUUUUAACUGUGCAAAGGUAGCAUAAUCAUUAGUCUUUUAAUUGAAGGCUGGUAUGAACGGUUGGACGAAGUAUAAUCUGUUUCAUAUAAAAUUAUAGUAAAAUUUUAUAUUUUAGUAAAAAAGCUAAAAUAAAAUUAAAAGACGAGAAGACCCUAUAAAUCUUUAUAAUUAAUAUUAAAUAAAUUUUUUUGGUUUUUUUAUGUUUUUUUAAUAUUAAUUAUUUUGUUGGGGUGAUAUUAAAAUUUAAUGAACUUUUAAUUUAUUAAAUCAUUAAUUUAUGAAUUAUUGAUCCAUUGAUUAUGAUUAUAAGAUUAAGUUACUUUAGGGAUAACAGCGUAAUUUUUUUGGAGAGUUCAUAUUGAUAAAAAAGUUUGCGACCUCGAUGUUGGAUUAAGAUAAAGAUUAGGUGUAGCUGNUUAAUUGGUGAAGUCUGUUCGACUUU
rnacentral:rRNA from 1 species